AUUAAACCGUUGAAAAGGCUAGUAAUAAAAUAAGUAAUUUCAGAGAGUUAGUGGUUGGUGAGAACUAAUAUGAUUAUUUUAUGAAUCCACCUUGGAGGGACUGUGAUGAGCAGUACGGCAUUGUCGUUAAAAUAUAUGAGUGGAUAAUAAUUUAUUUAUUAUCAAUUAGGGUGGUAACACGGAGUCUUUCGUCCCUUUU
rnacentral:ncRNA from 1 species